AGGGUGAGGAGCCAGAGUAGAAAGAAGCAAAUUGUCUUUUGCACAUUCCCAAAGGAUCAAUCUUACUGUUACAAUCUCCUCUCUGUCUCUGCAUUCUCCGAUCGGAUUACUAAACCCCUAUAAUUAGCCCUUAGAUCUUACUCUCCCGUCUUGUCCCUCCCCAAAAACCUCUGCCUCUCUCGAUCUUUCAUCCGAUCAUCAUGGCUCAGUCAGCUCUAACUCAGGUUGCUGUAGCUGUUCCUGUUGGGAGCGAUACGAUCCGUAGGAAAUCUGUGUUGAAGACACACAAUAUAAGCUUGAGUAAUAAGUCAUGGGCUCCUGUCUUAAGAUUGGAUCUAAAAUUAAGAAAUGCAAGGAAGACAAAUCAGUUCACAGUGCGCAUGUCAGUGCAACAAGCCAGCAGGUCUAAGAUUGCAGUGGCUCCUUCAAAAUUAGAAGAUGCCAAAGAGCCCCCAUUAAAUAUAUACAAGCCCAAGGAACCUUACACCGCAACAAUUGUUUCUGUUGAGAGGCUUGUUGGGCCCGAAGCUCCAGGUGAAACUUGUCAUAUUGUGAUCGAUCAUGGUGGCAAUGUUCCAUAUUGGGAAGGACAGAGCUAUGGUGUUAUUCCUCCCGGUGAAAAUCCUAAGAAACCAGGGGCGCCUCACAAUGUUCGUCUGUAUUCGAUUGCAUCAACCAGAUAUGGAGAUUUUUUUGAUGGCAAGACAGCAAGUUUGUGUGUCCGCCGGGCUCUCUACUAUGAUCCUGAAACUGGGGAGGAGGAUCCUUCAAAAAGUGGUGUAUGCAGCAACUUCCUAUGUAACAGCAAGCCUGGAGAUAAAGUUCGGAUCACAGGUCCCUCUGGAAAGAUAAUGCUUCUACCUGAAGAUGACCCAAAUGCAACUCACAUAAUGAUAGCUACUGGUACUGGUAUAGCUCCAUUUAGAGGAUACCUCCGGCGAAUGUUCAUGGAAGAUGUCCCUACAUUCAAGUUUGGUGGCCUUGCAUGGCUUUUCCUUGGGGUUGCUAAUACUGACAGUCUUCUAUAUGAUGACGAAUUCACCAAGUAUCUUCAGGACUGCCCCAAUAACUUCCGUUACGACAAGGCAUUGAGCAGAGAACAAAAGAACAAGAAUGGGGGUAAGAUGUAUGUUCAGGAUAAGAUUGAGGAAUACAGCAAUGAAAUCUUCAAACUGCUGGAUGGUGGUGCCCACAUAUAUUUCUGCGGGCUUAAGGGGAUGAUGCCAGGAAUUCAAGACACGUUGAAGAGAGUUGCGGAGCAGAGAGGUGAAAACUGGGAUACCAAACUUUCACAACUGAAAAAGAACAAACAAUGGCAUGUGGAGGUGUAUUGACAUUGUCGAGAGGAAAACUUUAUGGCGACUUAGGUAAGUCACUGCAACUAGUGCUGCUGUUACCAUUGCAUUUCGUUUUAUUAAACGAGAUGUAACAGUAAAAAACAUGUAAGUUAUGGUGAGAUUAAAGUCACCAUCUUUGGAUUGGUCGUAGAGAACCUCAACAGGAGCCGUCUUCCCUGUUAGAAGAUUCAAAUGGCCUCUUCGAGUUACAUGAACAGCUGUAAUUGCUCUAGGAUUCAUCGAGAACAGGAAAUAGUUUAAUAAACACUCGCGGUAAGUUAGCAUUUCUAUUUUGUGAUUACAUGUUUUGUUCUCCUUGACAUCACAAUAUUACUUCAUGUCAACAAUGUUGUUUCUCGCUAAAAUAGAUCAUAAUAUUUGUUAGCCAUGAUCAUCAUAUUCCGAAACAACAGAUGUUUAGUUAGUAUUAUAAUCAUAAGAGUUAUGAUCACCAUCUCA